rnacentral:piRNA from 1 species
UGCCUAUAGCAUCAUAAGACCUGUCGCC